GUAAAGGAGUUCUACUUUCUUCUUACUUUGUUUGACUUUUCCCAUGUGUUCUUUGUCACAUUUCUUAUCAUGAUCAUAUUUCUUGCUAAAUCUAGAUGCAAGUUGACAUUUCUUUGUAUUUACAUUUAUCAUAGGAAAAUGCGGGGAGAUUUAUAAAUGUCCAGCCAUCAAUUGAAGAGAGUAGGUAGGGAGAAAUGGCCCAUUUCAGAACGAGGCAAGCAAAUGGAUGAGCUCUUCUGAAUGGAGUUGUGGACAAAAGGCAAUCAAAUUGAUGGGAUCUUAUGUAUUAGAAUUUACCUGAAAAAAAUACUAACAGCCAGUGAUGUUGGUGAAGUACUUCCCGCUAGCUCAAAAAAAACUUGGAGCUUUCGAUAUUGUUAUUGGAAAAGCUGUCAAAAGCUUUGUUGAAUGUUGAGUAUGCGGUACAGUGGAGGCCGUCAUCAAUUUGCAUUUUGUGGGCAAGGAUCUUAAGCCUUGGAGCUUUCGAUAUUGUUAUUGGAAAAGCUGCCAAUAGCUUUGUUGAAUGUUGAGUUUGUUAAUGAAGAUAGGGGUGAAGUGGAGGCCAUCAAUUUGUUUUUUGUUGACGGGGAUCUUAAACCUUGGAGAUUUUGAUAUUGUUAUUGGAAAAGCUGCGAAAAGUUUUUUUGAAUGUUUGAGUAUGCUAUUAACUCCACGUUCAAAGUUAACUUUAAUGAAUGCUGAGUUUUUUUUUUUUUUUGGUGAACAAUGUUGAGUAUGUUAACUUUAUUAAAUGUUGAAGGAUCUUGACCCUUCUCCAUUUUUUUUUUUUAGUCCACUGUCAAUCAUGUAUCAAUGGAGUUGGUAGCCUAGCGGUGAAAAUGUCUUCAACCUAUCACCGUUUGAGUCAAUUGAUUAUGGGUUUGAA